CGCUGGCGGCGUGCUUAACACAUGCAAGUCGAACGGAGCCCUACAGAACGGAGAUUCGUUGAAGGGAAGUAGGCGCUUAGUGGCGGACGGGUGAGUAACGCGUGAGGAACCUGCCUUUCAGAGGGGGACAACAGAGGGAAACUUCUGCUAAUACCGCAUAAUGUGCUUGGAUCGCAUGAUCCGGGCACCAAAGAUUUAUCGCUGAAAGAUGGCCUCGCGUCUGAUUAGCUAGUUGGUGAGGUAACGGCCCACCAAGGCGACGAUCAGUAGCCGGACUGAGAGGUUGACCGGCCACAUUGGGACUGAGAUACGGCCCAGACUCCUACGGGAGGCAGCAGUGGGGAAUAUUGGGCAAUGGGCGAAAGCCUGACCCAGCAACGCCGCGUGAAGGAAGAAGGCUUUCGGGUUGUAAACUUCUUUGACAGGGGACGAAACAAAUGACGGUACCCUGAAAACAAGCCACGGCUAACUACGUG
rnacentral:rRNA from 1 species